rnacentral:tRNA from 1 species
UGGAUCACCUCCUAACAGGGAGACAACAAAAUGUUAAAUAUUAAUUUUGUCACCUUAGGUCGAUCGGUAUCUCACAUCCUUAUUAUCUUUAAGGAUUUUAUUUCCUAAGUUUUUCUAGGUCACACCCAAUUACUUUUCCUGGGCCAUUAGCUCAGGUGGUUAGAGCGCACCCCUGAUAAGGGUGAGGUCCCUGGUUCAAGUCCAGGAUGGCCCAUAUCUCUAUGUUGGGGGUAUAGCUCAGUUGGUAGAGCGCCUGCUUUGCAAGCAGGAUGUCAGCGGUUCGAGUCCGCUUACCUCCACUGAUUACCACCUCUUCCAUAUUUAGAAGGGAAAACUUCUUGAGUUGUGAUCAAAUUCUGAACGAAUCUAGCUUCCUAAUAAAACUUAUUAAGAUGCUGGACUCAUUGAAUUAAUUUCAUUGUUUUCAGAGAACCUUGACAACUGCAUAGAUUAUUUUUUUAAAGACAAUAAGCAUCUUUAUUGAUGCAGAUUUAUUAUUUGUGCGAAUGCAUUAAAUAACAAUUCUAUUAAGCUGAUGCUUCAUUUUUGAAGUUAUUGGUCAAGCUACAAAGGGCUCACGGAGGAUACCUAGGCACACAGAGGCGAUGAAGG